rnacentral:rRNA from 1 species
GUCUACGGCCAUACCACCCUGAACGUGCCCGAUCUUAUCUGAUCUUGGAAGCUAAGCAGGAUCGGGCCUGGUUAGUACUUGGAUGAGAGAAAAUUUAGGUAAUUUGAUCAGGGUUGUCU